AGAGUUUGAUCCUGGCUCAGAUUGAACGCUGGCGGCAUGCUUUACACAUGCAAGUCGAACGGCAGCACGGGGGCAACCCUGGUGGCGAGUGGCGAACGGGUGAGUAAUAUAUCGGAACAUGUCCGGAAGUGGGGGAUAACGUAGCGAAAGUUACGCUAAUACCGCAUAUGCCCUGAGGGGGAAAGGGGGGGAUCGCAAGACCUCUCGCUUUCGGAGUGGCCGAUAUCGGAUUAGCUAGAUGGUGGGGUAAAGGCUUACCAUGGCGACGAUCCGUAGCUGGUUUGAGAGGACGACCAGCCACACUGGGACUGAGACACGGCCCAGACUCCUACGGGAGGCAGCAGUGGGGAAUUUUGGACAAUGGGCGCAAGCCUGAUCCAGCCAUGCCGCGUGAGUGAAGAAGGCCUUCGGGUUGUAAAGCUCUUUCAGACGGAAAGAAACGGUCACGGUGAAUACCCGU
rnacentral:rRNA from 1 species